UACGUAGGGUGCGAGCGUUAAUCGGAAUUACUGGGCGUAAAGCGUGCGCAGGCGGUUGGUUAAGUCUGAUGUGAAAGCCCCCGGGCUCAACCUGGGAAUGGCAUUGGAAACUGGCUGGCUAGAGUGUGGCAGAGGGGGGGUGGAAUUCCGCGUGUAGCAGUGAAAAUGCGUAGAUAUCGGGAGGAAUACCAGUGGCGAAGGCGGCCUUCUGGACGGAUACUGACGCUGAGGCGCGAAAGCCAGGGGAGCAAACGGG
rnacentral:rRNA from 1 species